UGUCUCUGUCGCUGGAGUUGGGUAAACGGCAACGAUUACACUUAAUUCUCGCAGCCACCAUUACACUCAACAUUAACGUCAUUCAUUCAAGCUAAUCCCACCAACCUUUCUUUAAUUUAGCUUAAUCACACCUGAGGAGCUUAAUUCUGUGUAUAUACACACCAGAAAAUUGUAGUUGAAGACUGGCUGAUACAAACAAAUGAUGAAGGGAUAUGCACUUUCUCAUCUUUAGCCACAAAUCAGAUCAGAGUAACGGAUGAAGGGUGGUGAAUUGAUGCGAAGGCUAAACACCUUCAGACAUGUCUUGCAAGAAGGCUCGGUUUAUGAGCUAUAUGUCUUCGAUGUGGCAAGAAGCAACCCGGGAUUCAAGUUUGGGGAUGCACUCGGGAUUCAAGUUUGGGGAUGCUCUUGUCACUACAAGAAAGCAGGCGGAUACUGACGGACGAAUUCGUCAGAAUAUCGUCGGAAUAGACAUAUUUUGACGAAUAUCUGACGAAACUGUCCGUCGGUAUCAUUUCGUCGGAAUUUCGAAUUUCGUCGGAAUUUCGUCAGCCGCACCGACGAAUUUCUGACGAAUACCGAGAAACUUUAUUCUGACGAACUUCUGAGCACAUUCUGAUAACAGCUCCGACAACAGUGGUCAUCGGAAAAUUGGAAAUACUGACGAACCAUGUCCCUCGGAAAAUACUGACGAACCAUAUC